rnacentral:misc_RNA from 1 species
AACGCACCUUGCGCUCUUUGGUAUUCCGAAGAGCAUGCCUGUUUGAGUGUCAUUAAAUCAUCAAAUUGUUCAAUUUUAUUAUUGAAUAUAUUUGGAUGUGGAAGUGUUGUUGGCCCCCUCGGUCAGCUCUUCUAAAAUGUAUUAGCCGGAAGCUUUUGUAACCGUCUAUUGGUGUGAUAAUUAUCUAUACCAUUGACAGCUACACACUUAGUAUAAGCAUUCUGCUCCUAACCCGUCUGUGUAUGCGGACAAUCUUUGACAAUUUGACCUCAAAUCAGGUAGGACUACCCGCUGAACUUAA